rnacentral:rRNA from 1 species
GACGGGAGCUUGCUCCCUUAGGUCAGCGGCGGACGGGUGAGUAACACGUGGGUAACCUGCCUGUAAGACUGGGAUAACUCCGGGAAACCGGGGCUAAUACCGGAUGCUUGAUUGAACCGCAUGGUUCAAUCAUAAAAGGCGGCUUCGGCUGCCGUUUACAGAUGGACCCGCGGCGCAUUAGCUAGUUGGUGAGGUAACGGCUCACCAAGGCGACGAUGCGUAGCCGACCUGAGAGGGUGAUCGGCCACACUGGGACUGAGACACGGCCCAGACUCCUACGGGAGGCAGCAGUAGGGAAUCUUCCGCAAUGGACGAAAGUCUGACGGAGCAACGCCGCGUGAGUGAUGAAGGUUUUCGGAUCGUAGAGCUCUGUUGUUAGGGAAGAACAAGUACCGUUCGAAUAGGGCGGUACCUUGACGGUACCUAACCAGAAAGCCACGGCUAACUACGUGCCAGCAGCCGCGGUAAUACGUAGGUGGCAAGCGUUGUCCGGAAUUA